rnacentral:rRNA from 1 species
UAGGGAAUCUUCGGCAAUGGGGGCAACCCUGACCGAGCAACGCCGCGUGAGUGAAGAAGGUUUUCGGAUCGUAAAGCUCUGUUGUAAGAGAAGAACGGAUGUGGGAGUGGAAAAUCCAUGUCGUGACGGUAUCUUACCAGAAAGGGACGGCUAACUACGUGCCAGCAGCCGCGGUAAUACGUAGGUCCCGAGCGUUGUCCGGAUUUAUUGGGCGUAAAGCGAGCGCAGGCGGUUUCAUAAGUCUGAAGUUAAAGGCAGUGGCUUAACCAUUGUACGCUUUGGAAACUGUGAGACUUGAGUGCAGAAGGGGAGAGUGGAAUUCCAUGUGUAGCGGUGAAAUGCGUAGAUAUAUGGAGGAACACCGGUGGCG